rnacentral:rRNA from 1 species
CCUACGGGGGGCUGCAGUGAGGAAUAUUGGUCAAUGGACGAGAGUCUGAACCAGCCAAGUAGCGUGAAGGAUGACUGCCCUAUGGGUUGUAAACUUCUUUUAUAUGGGAAUAAAAUGUUCCACGUGUGGGAUUUUGUAUGUACCAUAUGAAUAAGGAUCGGCUAACUCCGUGCCAGCAGCCGCGGUAAUACGGAGGCUCCGAGCGUUAUCCGGAUUUAUUGGGUUUAAAGGGAGCGUAGGUGGAUUGUUAAGUCAGUUGUGAAAGUUUGCGGCUCAACCGUAAAAUUGCAGUUGAAACUGGCAGUCUUGAGUACAGUAGAGGUGGGCGGAAUUCGUGGUGUAGCGGUGAAAUGCUUAGAUAGCACGAAGAACUCCGAUUGCGAAGGCAGUUCACUGGACUGCAACUGACACUGAGGCUCGAAAGUGUGGGUAUCAAACAGGAUUAGAUACCCGAGUAGUC